rnacentral:lncRNA from 1 species
CGAAAUAUAGUUAGAGCAUAAGCAUUAAUAACUAAUAGAACAUGUGAUAAAGCCAAUAAAGAUUGUAUUGUUCAUAUACAUGUAUAUUUUCUUGGUCUGACAUUCUGUCAGGAAGAAAAAAGAAAGAAUUAAUGAGUGAAUGGAAUAAGUAAAAGGAUAAAAAGAAAAAAAAAUGAAAGAAAGAAAUAAUGUUAUGCCAUAGUCAAAGCGACGUGUUUUGUUCUUGAUGUCAUUUCAUGGCUUAGACAACCAAAAAAAGUUCUUCAGUUUAGUGCCCGGGUCCUCUAGGGCUAGGUCCAGAUGCCAACCUCUCAAGCCAAAACGACAUGGUAUUUCUUGCCUUCUCAUACAUUAUUGGAAAGUUAGCAAGGUGACUCGAGCUAGAAAAAUCCUCUGAUAAAAUCCUUGCUCCCUCGACCUGGAUUUGACUCGUGAAAGCAACAAAAAUCACAGAAAUGAUCAACAAAGUGGUCGCACUUCGAGAAUUCAUUUUCUAAAAUUGAUCUUAAAUGCUCGUGCAAGAAACUUGAGUUAUUUAUGAAGAGAAAUAGAGAAUAUUUUGUUUCUUA